rnacentral:rRNA from 1 species
AACGAACGCUGGCGGCAUGCCUAACACAUGCAAGUCGAACGAGACCUUCGGGUCUAGUGGCGCACGGGUGCGUAACGCGUGGGAACCUGCCCUUAGGUUCGGAAUAACUCCCCGAAAGGGGUGCUAAUACCGGAUAAUGUCUUCGGACCAAAGAUUUAUCGCCUUUGGAUGGGCCCGCGUUGUAUUAGCUAGUUGGUAGGGUAAAAGCCUAUCAAGGGGACGUUCCAUAGCUGGUCUGAGAGGAUGAUCAGCCACACUGGGACUGAGACACGGCCCAGACUCGGACGGGAGGGAGCAGUGGGGAAUAUUGGACAAUGGGGGAAAGCCUGAUGCAGCAAUGCCGCGUGAGUGAUGAAGGCGUUAGGGUUGUAAAGCUCUUUUACCCGGGAUGAUAAUGACAGUACCGGGAGAAUAAGCUCCGGCUAACUCAGUG